GCCACGGUGGUCUAGCGGUUAGAACGCUGGCCUUGUAAUCCUGGGGUCUCAGGUUCGAUUCCCGGCGGUGCCC
rfam:Zootermopsis nevadensis contig5889, whole genome shotgun sequence.